rnacentral:rRNA from 1 species
CAGCAGCCGCGGGAAUACAGAGGGUGCAAGCGUUAAUCGGAAUUACUGGGCGUAAAGCGCGCGUAGGUGGUUUGUUAAUUUGGAUGUGAAAGCCCCGGGCUCAACCUGGGAACUGCAUCCAAAACUGGCAAGCUAGAGUACGGUAGAGGGUGGUGGAAUUUCCUGUGUAGCGGUGAAAUGCGUAGAUAUAGGAAGGAACACCAGUGGCGAAGGCGACCACCUGGACUGAUACUGACUCUGAGGUGCGAAAGCGUGGGGAGCAAACAGGAUUAGAUACCCCUGUAGUCCCUGUCUCUUAUAC